rnacentral:rRNA from 1 species
UACGGGGGGGGCAAGCGUUGUUCGGAAUUACUGGGCGUAAAGGGCUCGUAGGUGGCCAACUAAGUCAGACGUGAAAUCCCUCGGCUUAACCGGGGAACUGCAUCUGAUACUGGAUGGCUUGAGUUUGGGAGAGGGACGCGGAAUUCCAGGUGUAGCGGUGAAAUGCGUAGAUAUCUGGAGGAACACCGGUGGCGAAGGCGGCGUCCUGGACCAUAACUGACACUCAGGGACGAAAGCUAGGGGAGCGAAUGGG